UUAGUAGCAUGUAGUCGUUUCUAUGAGUACCUAAUUUUCUUUGGGAAUAAAUAAACAAAUUAGUGUAUGCAUUCUAUUUGUCUUUGAAGACAGUGGCCAUAGUUGGCAUUUUAAAAUGUUCGACAUAAACAUUUUUGUUAUUGAAAAUCAAAUCAUGAUCAAUCCAUUUGACAUACUUACAUCAUGUAAUGAACAAACAAGUUUUUUGGUCAAUGCACGCGUAUAGCAGCAUUUCGUCGUCCAAAUAAAGCAUGUCCAUACCUUCAUCGUGUUCUUAUUCAGGUCCAAUCUUAUCAUUUUGUGUUGCUUUAAUGAACAUAUUAUUUCUCAUAAUACUAUAUGCAAUAUUGGCAGGAGCUAAUAUAUAUUCAUGUUGUUAUGAUUAUUCUUAUUUUCUCUUACAUAACUGUACUUUAUGAAUGACUAGCUAACUGAUUGUUCCCUUUUCAUUAGCUGGCCUUUUUUUACCAACCUGCUAUAGAACCAAACCAUGGAACUAAUUUCAUAUUUAUUGCGACUGAAUGUGUGUAUUAUGAAAAUUAAGAAAGGGAAAGAAUAUAUGGACCAGGAUCUUUAUCAUCCAUUAUCGUGUUUUCGUUUCUUUUCCCAUUUGAUAUUUCAUACAUGAUGUUAUGUUAUCCUGAAUGUUGUUGGUUGCUAGAUUGUGCUGCAUUGGUGUUGCAUCGGCGUCAUAGUAAAAAUACAAUUAUUUGAAGCUUUUUUGGGGGUUAUUUGAAGUUGACAUGCAUGGUUCACUUUACUUUAUGUACAGUUUUAUGUAUGGAUCAAAACCCAUGCUUAAAUCCAUACUUCUAAUUUUUUAGCAAGUCUUACAGUUUGUACAUGUGCAGGAAAAUCCAUGCUGGUCCUCGGGAGCAUGGGUUGAGGCAAUAUGGUGGCUUCCUUUGAUGAUGGUGGUGGGGAUGGCUGGAUAUGCUAGGUUUGAUUGGGUAGCGGGCUACUCGGUGCUACCCAUCAUAACCCGCCACAACAUGAUAGUUUCCAUCAGGAGAGUCGACGGCAAGAUCCUGAAUAACACACUUGAAAGUUUAUUUGUUUUGUUAUGUAAGCUGGAUUGUACUCCUUCUUAACCUUGUUGUGUGAUAUAUUUAAUGAGUCUAUGUUGUAAAUUAUCACUACAUGAUGUGUAAACUGAUAUGUUGUAUAUACAUACAAA
rnacentral:lncRNA from 1 species